UGGGGAAUAUUGGGCAAUGGGCGCAAGCCUGACCCAGCAACGCCGCGUGAAGGAAGAAGGCUUUCGGGUUGUAAACUUCUUUUAUCAGGGACGAAGAACGUGACGGUACCUGAUGAAUAAGCCACGGCUAACUACGUGCCAGCAGCCGCGGUAAUACGUAGGUGGCGAGCGUUAUCCGGAUUUACUGGGUGUAAAGGGCGUGUAGGCGGGAGUGCAAGUCAGAUGUGAAAAACUAUGGGCUCAACCCAUAGCCUGCAUUUGAAACUGUAUUUCUUGAGUGCUGGAGAGGCAAUCGGAAUUCCGUGUGUAGCGGUGAAAUGCGUAGAUAUACGGAGGAACACCAGUGGCGAAGGCGGAUUGCUGGACAGUAACUGACGCUGAGGCGCGAAAGCGUGGGGAGCAAACAGGAUUAGAUACC
rnacentral:rRNA from 1 species